UACGUAGGCAGCAAGCGUUGUUCGGAGUUACUGGGCGUAAAGGGUGCGCAGGCGGUUCUGUAAGUAUGGUGUGAAAUCUCCCGGCUUAACUGGGAGGGUGCGCUAUAAACUGCGGGACUAGAGUGUGGGAGAGGAAAGUGGAAUUCCUGGUGUAGCGGUGAAAUGCGUAGAUAUCAGGAGGAACACCCGGUGGUGUAAACGGACUUU
rnacentral:rRNA from 1 species